AGAUGAGGAUGAAGAGGAGGAGGAAGAAGAAGAAAAGACUGAUGAGGCUCCUGAGGAAGAAGAAACAGAGGAAAAAGAAGAAACACAACCAAAAGAUGAAUUAUAGAGAAAAUAAGGACAAUAGAAAAAAAUGGGAGCUACUAAUACCAACAGACUUCCAGGAUUUUUUAUUUGGCCUCGUUAUUAUUUCUGUUCACAACAUAUUCAGACGAGGAGACUUUGGUUUUGAAAUAACUGAAUUUAGGGGGAAACGGUUGUUACUAUUUGUUAAGGUUAUUUUCAUUCUGUGAUCACAACUCAAAACAAAACUAAUGAGGCCGUGAGGAUUCUUUUUAUAUGACCAGUCUUUUCAUGCCUGUAUUUCAAGCUCUGUCGUAGAUGGUUUAGAUAAAUUAAUAGGGGAGCCAGUAUGCAUGUCUUGGAGAAAUUGACAUAAAAAUGGUUCCGCCAUUCAUGUUCUUCGGCGCUGUUAAAACUACUUGUACAGUUGUAAAAUAUCACAGACGUCGAUGUUCUUGGUUGUACAUUUAAAACAAAUGUAAGUUUUUUUUGUCUUUAAAAAUAAAAUUAAUUUAAUAAUAAUU